rnacentral:lncRNA from 1 species
CUCUGUCCUUCAAACAAUUAUUAUGUAAGUUUUCACAGAGAUACAUAUACAUGUGUGUUCAUAUGUCUAUGAUCAACAUCUGGGGGAAAUAAAUGUCAAAAGAUGAUGAGAAAUCCAAAUUUGAAUUGUAUAUAGCCUUCACAAUCAAGUAUCAUAAUUUCUUUUAUUCUAAAUCUUUCAUACAAAAAUAAGACAAACAUUUACAUGGCAACAUGAACAUUUUGGAAAAAAUAUUGAAGUAGCUAAUUGUUUUUUUGGAGUUGUUCUGGUACAUCAGGUGAUGUUGAAACAUUUUUUUUUCAAAAUAGAUGCAUAAAAGGAUUUUUUAUUCAAUCAAAUUGACAUUGCUUUCUUUCUUUUUUUUCUUCUUUAUCUUUUCUGGUUUAAAAAGCUUUACCUUAGCUAAAUUCGAAAUAAUCUUGCAAGUAAAUACUAAUGAUUGAAAAGGGAAAACAAAUGUACAACUAUUGCACAAUUAUUACAAAGCAAAAAUUCUAAAUUCAUCUAUAUAUACUAAUAAAUAGAAUAAACCUGGUCCCAGUAGAUUUUUGGUCUGUCUACAUUGAGCUUAUGGACUUGGUAGUCCAAAACAUCUGUCCCAGUCACUACGCGCGUUGCCAGGAGUCAGUGCGCGUCAUCAUCUAGGAAGUCGUAUUUAAAAGUUCAUAAGAUGACAAAUCGCUAUAGGAUCAUGGAGAAUGGUACCACAGAAUAAGGACGUAUAGAGUUAGAUAUCUAAUUCUUCACGCGCGUGGUGAAAAGAUUAUGGAGAACUUAUUACAUUAGACGUAUUUUCAUGUGUGGAUAUGAAAGAACAUUUGAUAAUAUGAGUUAAUACUUGUGUUUUCUAUUGCACACACUUUACGUAAAUAACUUUCUUUUAUAUUUAUAUUCAAUGGCUGUUUGCAUAUAUUGUAGUUAUCAUAUUUUUUUAAUUGUUUGUUUAAAGGUGGUAAUAGGCAGCUUUAGAUUAAGAGAUCAUAUUCAAAGUCGUGACACCAAUGAUAAACUCUCCUACACAAAUUUGGCAUCUGAAUAUUGUAUUAUAGUGAAAUGGGGUUAAGAUAGUUGUUAUUCAUAUUUAUCUGAUUAUAAGCAUGUAUAAUAAAUAUUUAUUAUUCAAAAUCGAAUAUUUGGUUAAAGUUUAAUGUGAAAAAGUCUUGCACCUUUACCAUGGAAAAUCUUUUAUCGCUAUAAUCAUGCCAUGUUCAGGAUUCUCUAUCAUAGAGUUAUGGCAAAUAGGUAUCCUAGACUAUAAAAUGAAUUUAUGGUUUGUUUGGUUUUAAGUAUCCAUUGUGAAAUUUUCGAUUCCUCCGGGUAAAGGACUUUAAACUGUUGAGAAGGAUGACUUGUUACUUGAAUCUCAAUUUGAGACUGUGGCUAUCUAGACUAUGUGUAGGAUUAUUCUCUUCUGAAGUUUUAGAUAGUAUUUUGUGCCUUUUAUGAUAAUCAUAUGGUCAUUCUGUUAUAGAGAGCAGUUUAGGUUGUUUAUAUGUAUACAGAUACAGCUUGCAUUUUAUUUUGUCUAAGCUUCUUUAUAGUCUGUCUUUAUUUAGCUCUAACUGAUCUAGUAUGUGCUGCACAUUUUCUACUGAUAGAGAUACCUAUUUAACAAUUUUCAUGUUAACCAACUAACUUUCAUUAUACUCAACAUUUUCUUGUUUGGAUCGGUCCUUUUAAUCAACAUCAAUGACCUAGGUCAACGUAAGAAUUAUUGCAAAACUAUUUUUUUUUUGCAGGGAUGCAUGCGUCAUACUUUUAGCUAAAGUCAUACUCGUCACAUUUUGUUAUUUGUAUAUUUUAUUAUCAUGGGACAUUAGUUAGAGUGUGUGUCCUCACUUUCUUUUAAUUUAGAGAUAUAAAAGAUAUCCAGUCUCAAUGUUCUUCAUAUAUUUUAGUUUUAUAGUCCUGAAUGGAUUAAAAAUAAUGUUUGGUAAUAAUAUGGUCUUCAUCAAAUAUAUGGGAAAUAGAAGAAAUAAUCCUAAGCGAUGAACUAUUUUAAUAGGAAAACAAACUUGACUUUCUUAAUCUUGCAAUGUAGAGGUCAUUCUAAUUUCAUGCACUGAUGAAUGUUUCAAAGAAGAAUCAAGAAGUGUGACAUUUGAAUAUAAUAUCUAAAAAUAGGUAAUGUACUAGCAAGAUUAUAUCUGAAUAGUUCUUGACAAGGUUAUAAAUUGUUUCUACAGAAUUCAUCUAGCACAUAUUUAGAUUAGUUUCUACUUGUUCAUUUAAAGAUAAUCUUUCCUACACAUAAGACAAUUGUGAAAGUAAUAGAUGUCAGAUUUGUUGUAGAUGAUUUUCUGGCGGACUUAGUGAAUAUGUCCAUUUAUAAAGCGAAUAAACUAUUAGUUAUUUUUCUGUCUAUGAAAAAAUAACAUAAAAAAUGUGGUGCACAUUGAAUAAAGCGCGUAGCUGGUUUUUUUUAAAAAGUGUGCACCACAUUUUUUUGUUAUUUCUUAUAGGAUAGAAAAAAAUAUUACCGUCAUUUCUUAUAAUUUUAUUCUAAACUCCAUUUUAACCAGAGUAAAUAAUAAAAAAAAAACGUUGAUGACGUCACAGUCACAUAACAAAAUUAUGUCUAUGAGCUGAUAUACAAAACACUUUCAGUCAAUCAGAAGAUGUGAUACAUCCAAAAUUAAUUUAUUGAGAAAUGAAUAGAUUCACAAAAAGCAGUGGCGGAUCCAGGGGGGGGGGGGGUUCCGGGGGUGCGCACCCCCCUUUAUUUUGCCGAUCAAUGCAUUUGUAUCGGGACAUAUGUUUUGCCCCCCCCCCCCCUGCACCCCCCCCCUUUGCCCUGGGUUAGCACCCCCCCUUUCGAAAAUUCCUGCAUCCGCCCCUGAUAAGGAAGUCUUAACAUUGAUAAAUGAACCCUGGAAAUGAUUUCAAAAGGUCAGAUAAUUCCUGUAAGACAUACAUUUACACCAUUACUUACGAUUAUUCUAACCCCUGAAUAUAACCAGCUGAUAACUGACUAUUCCUGAAGUUGAUCCAGAGUUUAAGUCAGAGGAACAUUGUUGAACAUUGUAAUGAUUUUAUAUAAUGAAGCUGCCAUUUUACUUCUUGUAGGUGAAAACUCAUGUGAUAUAAACUAUAAAGCUGCCAUUUUACUUCUUGUAGGUGAAAACUCGUGUGAUAUAAACUAUAUUUUAAAGCAGUCACAGUGAACCUCAAAAAUGUGGUCAAGGAAAAGACAAAGGCAAGAUUGAAGGUCAAACCAAGGACUUGUAUAGUGAGAUAUACAAAUCCUUGGCCAAACUAUUUAUCAUCUACAUACAAUAUAUGGUGCAUGCUUAUUUUUGCAUAUGGUCUAGCAUCACCAUAGAAAUAUAUACAGAGAUUGGCAACCCCAUCCAUAUAAUCUAUAUGAAGCCAUUCAGUGAUAAUUAUAUUUAGAACUUAAACAGGACAAGAGUGCACACGCUGAAAUGUCUCGCCUUCUAUACUAAUCAUUGAUAUUAUGUUGAUAGUCCUAAGUAAAAAGCUAAGCUUUAAAACAACUGUACAUAACUUAACAUUAACCAAGAUAACUAAACAAAGACCAAUGAACCUUGAAAAUGAGGUCAAGGUCAGAUGAACCAUGCCAGGCAGACAUGUACAGCUAACAAUGCUUCUAUACAACAUUAUAGUUGACCUAUACUAUAGUUUGAAAAAUAGACCAAAACACAAAACUUAACACUGUGCAAUGAACCGUGAAAAUGAGGUCACGGUCAAAUAAAACCUGCGCGACUGACAUAAAGAUCAUUAAAUAUUUCCAUACACCAAAUAUAGUUGACCUAUGGCAUAUAGUAUUAGAUAAAAAGACCAAAACUCAAAACUUAACUUUGACCACUGAACCAUGAAAAUGAGGUCAAGGUCACAUGACAUCUGCCCGCUAGACAUGUACACCUUACAAUCAUUCCAUACAACAAAUAUAGUAGACCUAUUGCAUAUAGUAUGAGAAAACAGACCAAACACAAAAUUGAACUAUAACCACUGAACCAUGAAAAUGAGGUCAAGGUCAGAUGACACCUGCCAGUUAGACAUGUACACCUUACAGUCCUUCCAUACACCGAAUAUACUAGCCCUAUUGCUUAUAGUAUCUGAGAUAUGGACUUGACCACCAAAACUUAACCUUGUUCACUGAUCCAUGAAAUGAGGUCGAGGUUAAGUGAAAACUGUCUGACAGACAUGAGGACCUUGCAAGGUACGCACAUAUCAAAUAUAGUUAUCCUAUUACUUAUAAUAAGAGAGAAUUCAACAUUACAAAAAAUUUGAACUUUUUUUUCAAGUGGUCACUGAACCAUGAAAAUGAGGUCAAGGACAUUGGACAUGUGACUGACGGAAACUUCGUAACAUGAGGCAUCUAUAUACAAAGUAUGAAGCAUCCAGGUCUUCCAUCUUCUAAAAUAUAAGCUUUUAAGAAGUUAGCUAACGCCGCCGCCGUAGCCGCCGCCGGAUCACUAUCCCUAUGUUGAGCUUUCUGCAACAAAAGUUGCAGGCUCGACAAUAAAACCAGAUGCUCCGCAGGGCGUAGCUUUAUACGACCCAGAGGUGAACUGAAGGUUGGGGCAAGUAUGGACACAACAUUCAAGCUGGAUUCAGCUCUAAAUUUGCAUUGUGAUUAAAUAGUUGACACAGCAUAGGUUUCUGACACAGAAUGAAUGUGUUCUAAUGAACUUAAAUUUUUUGUUUUCUCUUAGAGCAAUUCACUAUGCUGUUGAAUAUUAAUCCUCUCAAAAAAAUGUUUGAAGAAAUUUUCUUUUUAUUUAUGAAAUUUCAAAUGAGAAAAAUUGAACCCAAUUUUUUUAAUCACAUCCCCCUUUCCCUUAUUCCAAAACUAAUCUCAAUUGAAAUUUCUAAUGGAGUUUGCAACAAUAACUACUCAUUUAAAUACAUCAAAUAUUAAGAUGUAAAAAAAGUGCUUGUUAUCACUGAAUGGUAAAGAUUAUUUUAAUUUAUCAGUUGGUAGUAAAAAGUGAAUAUACAUUGUAUAUUGUAUAUAACAAAGAUUUAAGUUGAUUCUGGACAAAGAAAGAUAACUCCAAUUAAAAAAAAAUCUUGCUAUUGCACAAUAUUUUGCAAUUAGAUAUUUCUUGCUUACUAUUCUGGACAAAGAAAGAUAACUCUAAUUGAAAAAAAAAUUGCUAUUUCACAAUAUUGUGCAAUUAGAUAUUUCUGGCCAUUGCGCAAUACUGUGCAAUUGAAAAGACUUGCUAUUGCACAAUACUUAAUAUAAUAAUUUUAGAUCCUGAUUUGGACCAACUUGAAAACUGGGCCCAUAAUAAAAAAUCUAAGUACAUUUUUGGAUUCAGCAUAUCAAAAGAACCCAAGAUUUCAAUUUUUGUUAAAAUCAGACGAAGUUUAAUUUUGGACCCUUUGGACUUUAGUGUAGACCAAUUUGAAAACAGGACCAAAAAUGAAGAUCUACAAACACAGUUAGAUUUGGUAUAUUCAAAGAACCCCAUUUAUUCAAUUUUUUGAUGAAAUCAACAAAGUUUAAUUUUGGACCCCGAUUUGGACCAACUUGAAAACUGGGCCAAUAAUCAAGAAUCUAAGUACAUUUUAAGAUUCAGCAUAUCAAAGAACCUAACUGAUUCAUUUUUUGUCAAAAUCAAACUAAGUUUAAUUUUGGACCCUUUGGACCUUAAUGUAGACCAAUUUGAAAACGGGACCAAAAGUUAAGAAUCUACAUACACAGUCAUGACAGUUAGAUUCGGCAUAUCAAAGAACCCCAAUUAUUCAAUUUUGAUGAAAUCAAACAAAGUUUAAUUUUGGACCCUUUGGGCCCAUUAUUCUGUUGGGACCAAAACUCCCAAAAUCAAUACCAACCUUCCUUUUGUAGUCAUUAACAUUGUGUUAAAAUUUCAUUGAUUUCUAUUUACUUAAACUAAAGUUAUUGUGCAAAAACCAAGAAUAAUGCUUAUUUGGGCCCUUUUUUGGCCCCUAAUUCCUAAACUGUUGAAACCAAAACUCCCAAAAUCAAUCCCAACCGUUCUUUUGUGGUCAUAAACCUUGUGUCAAAAUUUCAUAGAUUUCUAUUAACUUAAACUAAAGUUAUAGUGCGAAAACCAAGAAAAUGCUUUAUUUGGGCCCUUUUUGGCCCUAAUUCCUAAAAUGUUGGGACCAAAACUCCAAAAUCAAUACCAACCUUCCUUUUGUGGUCAUAAACCUUGUGUUUAAAAUUUCAUAGAUUUCCAUUCACUUUUACUAAAGUUAGAGUGCGAAAACUAAAAGUAUUCGGACGACGACGACGACGACGACGCAGACGCCAACGUGAUAGCAAUAUACGACGAAAAAUUUUUCAAAUUUUGCGGUCGUAUAAAAAAACAAUGAAUCGGAAAGAACUUUAUUUAAACAUUUACAGUAAAUUUUGAGUUGUACAACAUGAGUUUUGGUAUAGUUAAUUUUGAGAUGUACAACAUCGGUUUUUAGUAUAUAUAAUAAAAACAUUACAAUAUAAUAACAUUGUAAAGAGCUUGUACAAUGCAUAAAAUAUAAUAUACAUUAAUAAUGCAUCUCAUAAGGAGGUUGGCCUUGGGUAGGGGACAUAACUCUUAAAAUCACUAGUGCGUUUGUAUUAGACAUGUUCAUCAAUAUAUUUUAAGCUUUUAUCUAAUACAGAUUACUAUAAUUCUAUUUCACAUGAGUGCUUGAAACACAAUAAUGAUAAUGGCUGUUACAAACGCAUUACUGAUUUUAUAGUGUUCUCUCCAAUACCUUGCAAACUCCAAAACAGUGGUUAUGUCUGCACAAUAGCAUAUACUUAAAGUUUAGUGUAGCAACAAUGCAACUGUUUUAGAGUUUUCACACCAAGGUCUAACGCCUGAAGACCACAUAAUUUUUUUAGAUUCUCAACAUCUUCCCAUCAGAUAGAUUUUCUUCAAAAUCUCUGUCCUUCAAACAAUUAUUAUGUAAGUUUUCACAGAGAUACAUAUACAUGUGUGUUCAUAUGUCUAUGAUCAACAUCUGGGGGAAAUAAAUGUCAAAAGAUGAUGAGAAAUCCAAAUUUGAAUUGUAUAUAGCCUUCACAAUCAAGUAUCAUAAUUUCUUUUAUUCUAAAUCUUUCAUACAAAAAUAAGACAAACAUUUACAUGGCAACAUGAACAUUUUGGAAAAAAUAUUGAAGUAGCUAAUUGUUUUUUUGGAGUUGUUCUGGUACAUCAGGUGAUGUUGAAACAUUUUUUUUUCAAAAUAGAUGCAUAAAAGGAUUUUUUAUUCAAUCAAAUUGACAUUGCUUUCUUUCUUUUUUUUCUUCUUUAUCUUUUCUGGUUUAAAAAGCUUUACCUUAGCUAAAUUCGAAAUAAUCUUGCAAGUAAAUACUAAUGAUUGAAAAGGGAAAACAAAUGUACAACUAUUGCACAAUUAUUACAAAGCAAAAAUUCUAAAUUCAUCUAUAUAUACUAAUAAAUAGAAUAAACCUGGUCCCAGUAGAUUUUUGGUCUGUCUACAUUGAGCUUAUGGACUUGGUAGUCCAAAACAUCUGGUCCCAGUAGAACUAAGGUCAGUCUACAUUGAGCUUAUAUUUGUACAGACUUGAUUGUCCAAUAAGAUA